GACAGAGGGUGCAAACGUUGUUCGGAAUUACUGGGCGUAAAGCGCGUGUAGGCUGCUCGGAAAGUCGGGUGUGAAAGCCCUGGGCUCAACCUAGGAAGUGCACUCGAAACUUCCGAGCUGGAGUGCUGGAGAGGAAGGCGGAAUUCUCGGUGUAGAGGUGAAAUUCGUAGAUAUCGAGAGGAACACCGGUGGCGAAGGCGGCCUUCUGGACAGCCACUGACGCUGAGACGCGAAAGCGUGGGGAGCAAGCAGG
rnacentral:rRNA from 1 species